ACCCAUUUACCCUGGAGAACCGAGCGUGUGUAGUGCGUUGUAAUCCACAACUCGAUUCUUGGGGUCAGUUAGUG